AUGCUUCAAGUCACUGCCCAUGCCUAAAAUGGUUAGUCUGUAUUCUUACAUAAGCUUCAUUAAAUCAUAAGGCCCACUUAUUCAACAAAUAUUUACUGAAUACCUAUUAGAUGCCAGUGUUUUAGGCAACAGAUACUGGUGAAUGAGACAGAUAAGAUUCCUGUUGACAUGUUUCUUACAAUGUGAGAAAGAUGAUACAAAAAAAUAAACAACUAAAUUUUAGAUAACAGGAAAAUAGUACCUAUGACAAGGAAGGUGACAUCCGAGGAGAGAACUGGAUAAAGAGAAUAUGAAACAUCAAAUAUAAUGAAUGCUCCAGGUGAAAAGACUGUAAGGGGUUGGGACCCCCGACCCCUUUUCUCUCUGCUUCACAGCUACCAUAAGAUGGCAGCCUGCUUGACCAAGCACUGUUUAUCAGGACGGACUGAAGGCAACAGAGAUACAUCCUAAAGUAAAAUGGCUGAAAUUAUGAUGUCUUGGGUUUGCUUUAAUGUAUUCCAGUGGAGAAGAAGAGAGGACAACAUAAAACAAGAUGAUAAAAAUGCUGCUAAGUUGAUUGAGCAGAAUCUUGGAUUUGUACAGGCUCACUACAGUUUUUUAUGUAUGUUUUAAAUUUUUCAUAAUAUAAAGGUGUUAAAGAAUAAAUAAAUAGUGGGUACUGAGCCAACUGUCUUAUUAUCUUUGAGAAUAAGUAUUAUCUAACACUUCUUUGAGAAUUAAAUAGCCAGAGUACAGGAAUCAAGAUUUAAUAAAAUCCAUAAAAAUACUGAAUUAAACUGGGAAGAGUCCACAUAAAUCCUAACUUCUCAGGUUAGAGCUCUGCCCAUUUACAGUACCACAACCAUUCCAUGGAAUGCUAGAGCCUCUGAGACAGAUGGAACUUUAGUGAUCAGACCAUCUAUAACAAGUUUCUAAUUAAUUGAUAGUAAACUAAAGUCCAAGAGAGUUGAUUUUUCUGAGACCAGCAGAGGUCUUCACAGAGGUAACCCUAAAGCCAGUCCUCUUUAGUGUAUUUCCAAGGUACAACACCACUUCACCUUACAGCAAAUAACACUGUAACAUUCCUAGCGUUUGUUCUCCCUAACUAAUCAAUUCUUGCUCAGUGGUCACUGAUGCUUGUACUUUACUACUACUGAAGCUUGAUCAAGAACAGCAGAGACUCAUUAGGAGGAAAGUAUAUUCAUCCCUCAAAGCAAAACCUAUGAAUCUCCAGAGUUUUUGCCCUUAAUGAAACCUAGGUAAGCCAUAUAGGUUAAAGUCCCCUCCAAUAGGAUAAAAGCCUAAAGGACCUUGAGGUCAAGGUUUGACUGUUUUUUGAGUUGUAGAUUAUCACUCAUAUCUAUUACCCAAGGCUUAUACUAGUAUGAUUCCAGAAAACUCUAAAAAACAACUAUGUAUCUACCUGCUCCUUCUCUGGGACUAUUUUACAUUUAGAAUCAUGGGAGAGGUAGACUAUAAUCUGCGAGCAGUAUUUUGAAUAGGGGCACAAGUUACAGGGUUUUAGAAAUUCUACCAAAAAUAUGCGCUGCCUCCUGUAACAGGCAG